GGUCUUGACAUCCCGGAGACCCUUAGGAAACUAGGGGGUGCUUCCAUCUGGAAGAAUCUGGAGACAGGUGCUGCAUGGCUGUCGUCAGCUCGUGUCGUGAGAUGUUGGGUUAAGUCCCGCAACGAGCGCAACCCUGCCUUUAGUUGCCAGCAGUUCGGCUGGGCACUCUAAAGGGACUGCCGGUGUUAAACCGGAGGAAGGUGGGGAUGACGUCAAGUCCUCAUGGCCUUUAUGACCAGGGCUACACACGUACUACAAUGGCCGAUACAAAGGGCAGCGACACUGCGAGGUGAAGCCAAUCCCGUAAAAUCGGUCUCAGUCCGGAUUGGAGUCUGCAACUCGACUCCAUGAAGUUGGAAUCGCUAGUAAUCGUGGAUCAGCAUGCCACGGUGAAUACGUUCCCGGGCCUU
rnacentral:rRNA from 1 species